UACGCAGGGUGCAAGCGUUAAUCGGAAUUACUGGGCGUAAAGCGUGCGCAGGCGGUUGUGCAAGACCUAUGUGAAAUCCCCGGGCUUAACCUGGGAAUGGCAUUGGUGACUGCACGGCUAGAGUGUGUCAGAGGGGGGUAGAAUUCCACGUGUAGCAGUGAAAUGCGUAGAGAUGUGGAGGAAUACCGAUGGCGAAGGCAGCCCCCUGGGAUAACACUGACGCUCAUGCACGAAAGCGUGGGGAGCAAACAGG
rnacentral:rRNA from 1 species